CCGGAGGACCGAGGACCAAACCGGACCCAUCUGAGAGCUGCGGAGCUCCGAGUCCACAAGGGCCCGAUGUAGACGCAGAGAAGAAAUCAUCUGGAAAAUUCUGCAGCACCUAAAGUUGGGGACAUUUGCCUGCAGAGUUUGCUUUGCUCCUAAAACAGAUCACUCCAGCAUCAUGUCGGGCUGCAGCAUGACAGUGUGUGUGAGAGAGAGAGAGGAGGUCUGUUUUUGUCUUUGGUUAUCUAGCUGUAUGAGUGUUAAAUACCUGUCAUAAAGCUAGAUAACCGAAAGUAGAAAUGACUUCCGUAACGAUGUUUUCAUGCCCCAAAAAGAGAAGAAAGGACUCAGCAAAGGCGGAUUUUUGACAGAAUUUCACCCCUUGAAAGUCUUCUGAUUAGCACUGAAAGAUCUGGGAUUCCUGAAAAGAGGCAUCAUUAAAAGAAACUGAGGAGAGAGAGGAGGGGAAAACGGUCGGUCCGGAAUUGCUGCCUCCUCCUCCUCCUCCUCCUCCUCCCACCCUCACCCUUUUUACCCAGGAGCCUCUGAUGCCAUCUGUACUGCCAAUGGAGACACUUUGCCUGUGCCAGGAGGCGGACAAAGACCCUGCCGGAUCCCUGGAGUAACGGGUGCGCUCAGAGGAGCCAUCUUGGGAGACGUUUGCCGCGACACCUAAAAUGGCUGGGCUGGCAUACGAGGAUGGGACAGAAACUGUGAGCAUCUCUUCACUCUGGAGGAACCUUUGGCACAAAGACGACAUGGAUCCAACUCAACGAAAUGUCGUCAUCAGAUUGUCGGGACUUUCUGAGAGAUUAUCAGUCAAAUAAACACUGCAAGAUGAUGUAGAAAAACGACACUGUGAAUUGUACAGCUCAUGAUGUGUCUGAUACUGUAAUGAUGAAAUGCAUCUGAUUGAAAAAACUAUUAGUUUUAAUAAUACUGCAAAUGUAAAAGCAUUAACCCUCUGGAAUGCGCAUACAUUUUCAUAGCUAAUGAUUGGUUAAAUUAUUUUUUAAUUAAUUCAUUUAACUGCUUUGUCCUGUUGUAUUAAAGUUUAAAAUGCAAUAUGAGUUAAAAUUAUAUAAAUGUAUUGCACCUGUCUAUGAGUUUUUUUUCAUAAAUAAAAAAAUAUAUAUUUUUAAAAA